ensembl:lncRNA LINC02997 long intergenic non-protein coding RNA 2997
CCUGACCACAGCUGAGCCGUGUGAAGAGGCUGACAGCGGCGUGGCCACCACCCAGGAUGGAGAGAAAGGCACUGUGAGGUGUUAAUGGAAAAAUCCAACUUCCUUUUCUUCCAAAGAUGAUGACUGAAACCAAAGUGGAGCUUUCCCUUGUGAAGUGAAAGCAAAGUUUUAAAAUUUUUUCUCCUCUGCAAGAAAAUAUAUUUCAGAAAAUCUCUAUCUCAAAAAUGAAGCAAUUAAGAACUGUCUGGCUGUGAGGAUCUGGCCUCAACUUGACUUAAAGCAACAACUUCAGUUACAUAUCAAGAUGAAACUUUCUGAGAUGCAAGUGGGUGUUAAAUGGUUCAGCAAAGCCAAGCCAGAGCAGUUGGUGUGCUUUGAAAUGAAGCAACAUUGGAAAAAUGAAAUCUACUGAAAGAUCACUACGUGUUUCAAAGAACUGACUAGAACCAGAACUCUUCAGAAAAGAAUGUGCUAAAGGUUUGUCCUUGAGAAGUUUCCAAGCCAAGACACUCCUAGGAGCACUUCCCAUUGAGGCCGAAAGGCUCAUCCACUUACAGCGAUUCAUGGGAAAAGAGGACAGCACCCUCAUCUUUGGUCCAAGAACACAAUCCUGAGUGACACAGGAUUGCCCUGAAAGUCAACAGCAUCCGUCUUACAAAAAUCAACAACACUCGCUUUUCAAACUUCCAAAGAAUUUACUGGUCUGGUUUGGCCUUUUGGUGCCACAUUCCAUUCCAGAACCCCAGCUAAAAUGUUCUCAAGGGCUGACCAGAGAUUCCUCCUCCUUUCUCUGGGCUGGUACAACUUGACCGCUGCUUGACAUCAAGGUCAACUGGAGACUGGGAACAGUUAUGUAACUGUGUUGUAAAUUGAAUUAGAGCUGUACAUGAGCCCAGACCAAGUAACCAGUGCAGCUCCAGGCAAGAGCAGCAACAUGUCCCCCAGAGACAGCAUUGGAGGAACAGCUUACUGGGGAAUGGAAAAAGGGUAUCACAGGGUAAAAAAGAAACCGUCUCUUUCCAGUCCUUCUAAAGUCUGGGCAGUUGGCUGCCCCAUCACAUGUGGAAUAAGAGGGGGGCAUUAAGUGCAGAGGGAGCUGGUGUCAGUAUGGCAGGCAAACACUGAGGAAAAAUCAGCAUACAUAGUAUACACAAAGAGAAUGAGAAAAAAAUAUUUGUAACACCAGAACAGACACCACCCAGAUGAAAGAAAUAAGAAGGCUUACACGUGGAGAGGAAAAAAGCCUCUGGCAGUGGUCAGUGGACUGUAGAAUGAGCAAGAAAGGCAUGACCAUCCUCCUACCAGUGACUGGUCAUUCUGGAGAGGAUACAUGUGCACAGAUCUGGAAAACCAGGGCUGAAAAGCCUUUUGACACCUUUGGUGACCUAGGACAUGGUCCCCCAAUGUAAGACAUCAUGCUAGAUAGAGGGGAAAAUAGUAAGUUUUCUUCAAAGGCAAAUGAAUACAACUUGAGAUAACUUUUGAAAAGAAAAAAGGUACUGGGACCAUGGCAUGACUUUGAUCUGUGCUAACAUGACCGCCUGCAGAAGCAGAUGAGGAGAGGCAGAAUAAUGUAAAGCUGAAAGCUUGGAGUCACCAAACCAUAGAUAGCUUCACCUCUUACCAAGUGCUUGAUGUGUGGCUAGGUUCUUAAAUCCCCUACAAGUUCCAGCUUCCUCAUCUGUAAAAAACGAGCAAGUUAAGACUGGGUGAGUUAAUAGAUGUAAAAGUACUUAGUACAGUACUCUACAAAUAGUAAGUGCCCAAUAAAUGUUAACUGUUAUUAUUAUGUAUUCUGUCCUUCACUAUGUUAGGCCCUGGGAUGUAGUGGUGACAGGCAAGGCUGCUGCUCUUGUGGUUCUUACAUGAAACAAGGGAACAGGGAAAUAAACAAAAUAAA